rnacentral:miRNA from 11 species
CGUCGGAAAGGCUGUGGUGUG